CCUACGGGAGGCUGCAGUGGGGAAUAUUGGGCAAUGGGCGCAAGCCUGACCCAGCAACGCCGCGUGAAGGAAGAAGGCUCUCGGGUUGUAAACUUCUUUUAUCAGGGACGAAGCAAGUGACGGUACCUGAUGAAUAAGCCACGGCUAACUACGUGCCAGCAGCCGCGGUAAUACGUAGGUGGCAAGCGUGAUCCGGAUGUACUGGGUGUAAAGGGCGAGUAGGCGGGAAAGCAAGUCAGAUGUGAAAACAAUGGGCUCAACCUGUGGCCUGCAUUUGAAACUGUUUUUCUUGAGUACUGGAGAGGCAGACGGAAUUCCUGGUGUAGCGGUGAAAUGCGUAGAUAUUAGGAGGAACACCAGUGGCGAAGGCGGUCUGCUGGACAGCAACUGACGCUGAGGCGCGAAAGCGUGGGGAGCAAACAGGAUUAGAUACCCGGGUAGUC
rnacentral:rRNA from 1 species